ACCAUGAUGAAUCCUCUAAUCCUUUAAUUCACUUUUAGAGAAUCACUUAGGGGAUCAGUUGGUGGAGGAUUUGUCCUGUAUGCACAAAUAUCUGAGAUUUGAUCACAAGUACCAAGCCUGGUGGCAUAUGCCUGUAAUCCCAGUACUUGGUAGGUGAAGGCCGAAUGAUCAGAAGGUCAACUGUGGAGGCCAAAGAGAAAGCUCGGACCUUAAGAACCUGUACAGUUCUAGGACCUGCUCAUGUGGGAUUUCUGAAAGCAACAAACCAAAAAAGGCCUCUCAAGUGUUCAGAGGGCAAGAGGUUCAGGAACCAUCGGUAAAGCUGAGGGAACAAAGGAAACUGCUUGGAGGGCUGGGGUGAAGUCUCAGGGUUGCAGAUUGUUCCUGGAUAAUCUGUGUGCAGUGAGCAGCAAAGUAAACUGGAAGACUUUCAUUUGAGUCUCGAGAAAAUUUACAGUAAGUUUCGUCGGCAAACUGGAAGGUGAUCUGUUUUUCCGGUGUGGUUUCCUGGUAGAUAGAAUGUUUCCAUCUUGUUCUGUUAUUCCUUUAGCUACCAGGCUCACUGGUAUAGACAGCUCACUGUGACGCGUUGAACCAUGUCUGUUUCAAUGUAAUGGAGCUGAGUUCAUGAGCUUGUGACUUCUAAUCGCACCCAACUCAGGGAGCCAUAGAAUUCCAGGAGAAUAGGAGAGAACCCAUGUUUCUCAACAGGAUGGUUUCAGGAGCCUGUCUUCACCCUUCACCGUCUCCAAUCCCUUCCCACACAACAUUCUAGUUGCCUCAUGUGAGCAGAAUCUGAACAAGGGCUUGGGGGUGCUUACAUGGGGAUUUAUUAAAAGAAUGCCCUUCUGAGAAAUGGAAUGAGAAACAUAAUAUGGUGGUUAGAUGUAAUAUGCAUCUUAAAAGGUCUUAUUAAUAAAAACAAACCCAGGGCCAGGUAUUGGGGUGAAAUGCUGAAAGAUCAGAGAAACAGAACAAGCCACAGCUAACCUCACCUCGACAAUUCCUCAGCGGAUCCUGUUUCCUCAGACUGGAAGCCUUUGUGUCCUCAUCCGAAUGGAUCUCAGCUGAACUGCUGCUCAAAAGCCUAAAAGCUUAACUGACCCUAGUUCCUGGUCCUGAUGCCUUAUAUACCUUUCUGCUUCCUGCCAUCAUUUCCUGGGAUUAAAGGCAUGUGUCACCAUGCCUGGCUGUUUCCAGUGUGGCUUUGAACUCACAGAGAUCCAUCUGGAUCUCUGCCUCUGGAAUGCCAAGAUUAAAGUGUGUGUGCCACCAUUUUCUGGCCUCUAUGUUUAUCUAGUGGCUGUUCUGUCCUCUGACCCCAGAUAAGUUUAUUAGGGUGCACAAUAUAUUGGGGAACACAAUAUCACCACAGGUAGAGUGGGGUGGAAGUGGCAGGAAAGAAAACAAAAGUGUCAUCUCAUCUGCUGUUCAGCCUCAGCGGGUCCCACAGGAUGCCCCGGGGAAGAAAUAGUGUCUCCUAGAUAGCCCCACCUUGAAGCAAGGGGCCUAGUACUUUGUUCUUUGUAUCACCCAGUCAGUGGCUAUAGGCUACCCAGGGUAAUGGAGCAUGGGAAAAAGCAAUUCUUCAAAGGAGGGAUGGCUGUUUUAGUAGCCCAUACUCUCCUCACUGGGAGAUGGAUACCCACUCUAGAAAUGAGCGUGUUGGCUGGACACCGGAUGUGCAUAUUAUACCAGGCGACCCUGAAGUGCAGGCUUGACACUGGCAGCUGGUAAAUGACUUGCCUAGCAGCACAUGGCGAGGGCGUUGGGAUGUAGCCUGCAUCCCUUCAAGUUUAGCCCAGCUUGCGUGGUGGUUGGUGAUUUUCCCAAGACCAGAAAUAUGUAGC